UUGCUUCACGACCUUUUCCCAGAUGGAAGUCAUCUCCUUCCUCGUCUAAAAUGUCUGUAUAUGACCACUACACAGACAGCCUGGUCUCUGUGAGAAAAGAAAAGAAAUUGACAAGGAUGGCCAGCUUCGUGAAUUUACGAAACAGGUGGUAAUGCCAGGACAACAAACAACAUUGUCUGAGGGCUUGAGGCCAGCGAUGAUGAACAAUGGCCAAGUGCCCAAAGAGAAAGAAUUCAGCAGAGCAUAUAAACACGAUCUGAGCUCACCUCCACACCAAAAAUCCUUCGCGAGGAUCUCCCUGGAAAACCUCGGAGGCUCUAAGAUGUAUAUUCUUCCCAGGUCAAGUCAGCUCCGGCACUAGCCAGUCCACCAGCACAAGAGUUGGCUUUCGCAUAGGUGAAUGACGAGUUAAGAUAGCAAUUGUGUCAAUAUUCCUGUACUCAUCCGGUUAGAUCCAUUUCAUAGCCAACUAACUUAAAAACUUGCUUAAUUAACGCA